rnacentral:rRNA from 1 species
AGCGAACGCUGGCGGCAGGCUUAACACAUGCAAGUCGAGCGGGCGUAGCAAUACGUCAGCGGCAGACGGGUGAGUAACGCGUGGGAACGUACCUUUUGGUUCGGAACAACACAGGGAAACUUGUGCUAAUACCGGAUAAGCCCUUACGGGGAAAGAUUUAUCGCCGAAAGAUCGGCCCGCGUCUGAUUAGCUAGUUGGUGAGGUAACGGCUCACCAAGGCGACGAUCAGUAGCUGGUCUGAGAGGAGGAUCAGCCACAUUGGGACUGAGACACGGCCCAAACUCCUACGGGAGGCAGCAGUGGGGAAUAUUGGACAAUGGGGGCAACCCUGAUACAGCCAUGCCGCGUGAGUGAUGAAGGCCCUAGGGUUGUAAAGCUCUUUUGUGCGGGAAGAUAAUGACGGUACCGCAAGAAUAAGCCCCGGCUAACUUCGUG